rnacentral:rRNA from 1 species
UACGGAGGGGGCUAGCGUUGUUCGGAAUUACUGGGCGUAAAGCGCACGUAGGCGGUUUUUUAAGUCAGAGGUGAAAGCCCGGAGCUCAACUCCGGAAUCGCCUUUGAGACUGGGAGACUUGAAUCCAGGAGAGGUGAGUGGAAUUCCGAGUGUAGAGGUGAAAUUCGUAGAUAUUCGGAAGAACACCAGUGGCGAAGGCGGCUCACUGGACUGGUAUUGACGCUGAGGUGCGAAAGCGUGGGGAGCAAACAGG